rnacentral:rRNA from 1 species
CCUACGGGAGGCAGCAGUGAGGAAUAUUGGUCAAUGGUCGUAAGCCUGAACCAGCCAAGCCGCGUGAGGGAGGAAGGUUCUAUGGAUCGUAAACCUCUUUUGUAAGGGAAUAAAGUGUGGGACGUGUCCUAGGUUGUAUGUACCUUAUGAAUAAGGAUCGGCUAACUCCGUGCCAGCAGCCGCGGUAAUACGGAGGAUCCGAGCGUUAUCCGGAUUUAUUGGGUUUAAAGGGUGCGUAGGCGGCCUUUUAAGUCAUCGGUGAAAGUCCGUGGGUCAACCAGGGACUCGCCGUUGAAACUGGGGGGCUUGAGUAGGAUUGAGGGAGGCGGAAUGCGCGGUGUAGCGGUGAAAUGCUUAGAUAUCACGCAGAACCCCGAUUGCGAAGGCAGCAUG